rnacentral:rRNA from 1 species
UCAAAGAUUAAGCCAUGCAUGUCUCAGUAUAAGCAACUUGUACGUGUGAAACUGCGAAUGGCUCAUUAAAUCAGUUAUAAUUUAUUUGAUAGUGGUAUUACUACAUGGAUAGCCGUAGUAAUUCUAGAGCUAAUACAUGCAAGAAGACCCGACUCGUUGAGGGAAGGGUUGUGUUUAUUAGAUCGAAAACCAACGCAGGGUUGUGUUGUGUAAUGGCGCGAGUUGUUUCACAACAUUUCCCGAAUAUAUGGUGAGUCAUGAUAAAUGUCGAAUCGAAUGUUUAUUCGAUGUGUCAUUCAAAUUUCUGCCCUAUCAACUCGUUGGUAGGAUAGAGGCCUACCAUGGUUUUGACGGGUAACGGAGAAUUAGGGUUCGAUUCCGGAGAGGGAGCCUGAGAAAUGGCUACUACUUCUAAGGAAGGCAGCAGGCGCGCAAAUUACCCAAUCCCAAUUGUAUUGGGGAGGUAGUGACAAAAAAUACCGAUGCUGGAUCUUUACAGGUUCAGUAAUUGGAAUGGUUUGGAAGCAAAUCGUCCAUAGAGCAGCCAUUAGAGGGCAAGUCUGGUGCCAGCAGCCGCGGUAAUUCCAGCUCUAAUAGUGUAUACUAAAAUUGCUGCAGUUAAAAAGCUCGUAGUUGGAUUUUGGAUGGAACAAGAUACCUUUAUGUUUUGCUGUGCGUUUUGUUAUGUGAUGGUCUGUUUCUUGAGACGUCACAUGACGUAUGCAUGGUCGUAAAGGUUGUUUCGUCCCUGUCGCAAGACAUUUUUUCGAAAGUAUGUAGUCCCCUUAACUGGGCGAUUGUGUAAUUUCGGAGGGUUUACUUUGAAGAAAUUGUAGUGUUUAAAGCAGGCGUUUCGCAGCUGAACACAUUAGCAUGGAAUAAUAAAAUAGGACAUCUGAGUUAGGUACUUAUUCCAUCUCGCCAAUAAUCUUCCAGCUGUGGUCCUAUCUUUAGGGCAUUCUUCCUUCGCAAGGAGGUAAGGGUGUUUUUAGGGGUGGCUUGAUUGCAGUUGAGAUUGCUGGUAUCCUGUUAAAGGGGUUUAAAGGGGUGUGGGGGAGAGGCCUAGCUAUCGUUUAGUAUAUCUAUUUUGUUGGUUUAUGGAGAAGGUGUAAUGAUUAAUAGGGACAGUUGGGGGCAUCCGUAUUGCAUUGUCAGAGGUGAAAUUCAUGGAUUUAUGCAAGACGAACUAAUGCGAAAGCAUUUGCCAAGGAUGUUUUCAUUAAUCAAGAACGAAAGUUAGGGGAUCGAAGGCGAUCAGAAACCGCCGUAGUCUUAACUAUAAACUAUACCAACUAGGGAUUGGAGAGUGUCGCAAUAUGGCCUCGUCAGCACCUUUAGAGAAAUCAAAGUCUCUGGGUUCUGGGGGGAGUAUGGUCGCAAGGCUGAAACUUAAAGAAAUUGGCGGAAGGGCACCACCAGGUGUGGAGCCUGCGGCUUAAUUCGACUCAACACGGGGAAACUCACCAGGUCCAGACACGGGAAGGAUUGACAGAUUGAUAGCUCUUUCUUGAUUCUGUGGGUGGUGGUGCAUGGUCGUUCUUAGUUGGUGGAGUGAUUUGUCUGGUUAAUUCCGAUAACGAACGAGACCUUAACCUGCUAAAUAGCUCAGUCUCAAAAGUUUCUUUUGAGAUUUGUGAUGCUUUUCCUCCGCAAGGAGGGGAGUGUUAAGAGCUUCUUAGAGGGACUACCAUGGUUGCACAUGGUGGAAGCUUGAGGCAAUAACAGGUCUGUGAUGCCCUUAGAUGUCCUGGGCCGCACGCGCGCUACAAUGAUGCAAUCAACGAGGUUGUGCUUGCCCGAAAGGGUUGGCUAAUCUUUUGAAACUGCAUCGUACUGGGGAUUGAUCUUUGUAAUUUUGGAUCAUGAACUAGGAAUACCUAGUAAGUGCAUGUCAUCAGCAUGCGCUGAUUACGUCCCUGCCCUUUGCACACACCGCCCGUCGCUCCUACCGAUUGAAUGAUCAGAUGAAAUGCCCGGAUGCGUGGCGCACUGUCUUUCGGGGUGGCGCGCUGUGCAGAAGAGUAGUAAAUCUUAUUAUUUAGA